AGCGAACGUUAGCGGCGCGCUUAACACAUGCAAGUCGCACGAGAAAGGGCUUCGGCCCCGGUAAAGUGGCGCACGGGUGCGUAACACGUAGGCAAUCUUCCCUUGAGCGGGGGAUAACGUUUCGAAAGAGACGCUAAUACCGCAUAAGACCACGACCGGUUCGCCGGUUGCGGUCAAAGCUGGCCUCUUCUUGAAAGCUAGCACUUAAGGACGAGCCUGCGGCCCAUCAUGCUAGUUGGAGUGUAAUGGACUACCAAGGCGAAGACGGGUAGCUGGUCUGAGAGGAUGAUCAGCCACACUGGAACUGAACACGGUCCAGACUCCUACGGGAGGCAGCAGUGGGGAAUAUUGGACAAUGGGCGAAAGCCUGAUCCAAGCGACGCCGCGUGAGUGAUGAAGG
rnacentral:rRNA from 1 species